CCUACGGGAGGCAGCAGUAGGGAAUAUUGCUCAAUGGGGGAAACCCUGAAGCAGCAACGCCGCGUGGAGGAUGAAGGUUUUCGGAUUGUAAACUCCUUUUGUUAGAGAAGAUAAUGACGGUAUCUAACGAAUAAGCACCGGCUAACUCCGUGCCAGCAGCCGCGGUAAUACGGAGGGUGCAAGCGUUACUCGGAAUCACUGGGCGUAAAGAGCGCGUAGGCGGGAUAGCAAGUCAGAUGUGAAAUCCUAUGGCUUAACCCUAGAACUGCAUUUGAAACUGUUAGUCUAGAGUAUGGGAGAGGUAGGUGGAAUUCUUGGUGUAGGGGUAAAAUGCGUAGAGAUCAAGAGGAAUACUCAUUGCGAAGGCGACCUGCUAGAACAUAACUGACGCUGAUGCGCGAAAGCGUGGGGAGCAAACAGGAUUAGAUACCCUAGUAGUC
rnacentral:rRNA from 1 species